GGUUCCCAACCAAGGUUCCUCUAAAUGUUGCUGAACUACAACUGCCAUCUUCCCCAGCUAAAAUUUAUUGUGGCUGGGGAUGCUGGGAGUUGUAGUUCAGCAACAAAUGGAGGAACCCUGGUUGGAAACCACUGGUAUAAUGGAAGAAGGAGGAAGUCAAACGGACAAAAGCUCAAAAAAACUAUCUACUUGAAUAUUCACUUACACUCUGGGGGAAAGCAAGAAAGGCAGGAAUGGUUGCCUCUAGGGAUGCAAAAACCAAUGUGCAGCCCACAUCCCCUUCAGUGCUGUUAGAAGUGCCUUAGGUUGUACCAGUGCCUCAGCAUAUAUCUUGAUACUCUUGGGAAUUUACCACCGAAUGGUGAAAAAUAAACAUUGCUCCUCUGGCCAAAAAAAGAGAGAAAGAGCGAGAGCGACCUUUCAAUCUAGUUAUGAAUUAUUUGUAUAUGUUUCUCUUUUUAAAAGUCCUUUGGCCCUCUCUCUCUUUUUAAGUUACAGGAGCAAAAAUUGCUUCUCUGAGAAGGCACACUUUUUAAAAAGCUAGCAUAGAAAGUGCAAUUUAGUUAGCAAUUAAUCCUUAAUGUGAUCUAAUUAUUCCUGACAUUUGGGCAUCAGGCACUAUACUUCAGGGGCCAUAUUCUUCUCUUGCACUGUAGGUAGGCGUUUGCAUUGGAUUUAAGGAAGCAAACUGCUGCCAUCAGCUUUCAGUUAAAUUAACUUCCUCCCUACAAACCUGAUCUGGAAACAAAAGAGGCAUAAGAUAAUUAACCAUGGCUAAAGUGGAAGAAAAGCUGAUGUUCCCUCAUGGCCAUAGUUUGCUGGUGAGGCAAAAUAAGGUGCAGUCUAAAUCCUUCCUUUCCAAGUGUGCAGCUGCACAUUCUAUUCCCAAAGACAGAUAAAUUGUAGGGAAUAAGCAUACCUGACAAGUAGCAGAGACCUGUAUCUGCACAAUUCUAGACUUUGUUUAGGGAUUUGGUUCAUUCUCAAAUCUCCUUGCAGUGGUUGCAUUUUAGUGUUGAGGGAAGUGACCUCCAUAGCUGUUACUCUAACCAGAGAUGGGGAAAGGAUGUUUUCAAAUCAUGAUUUAUUCGUGGUUGCAAAGUGCUUUGAUACUCAAGGGUGAAAUUCACCAUCUCAGGAAAGGCCAGCAGAAAGCUUAUGCUUAACUGUACCUGAGUGGAUCAUAACCCUUUUGCUGAGCAGCUGCAGUGGAAAUAAUUUUUGUCUUUUCCAAGGGUAAAAGAGUAUAAAGAAUAUUGUCUUUUUGUACUUUAUACACAUGGAAGAUGAGGCACAAUAUGCAGCUGAAAGGAUUCAAGAUUCUCUUGUUUAUGGUUGUAUGAAACCCUUCUCAAGCUGAUGGGCAACAUGUACAGCAUCACAAGUCUGGGAAAGGAGUAGAAAGCCCAUAGGAGAAGAUGAGGAACUAGGUGUAUAAGGCUCUCUGGUCUCCAGGCCAAGAAGAGACUGGAGGCGAGAAGAUCCAGGGAAUUCAUAGAAAACCAUAGAAUCCAACAUCAAAUUCAUCUGUCCUAGGAAAAGAGCUGCAUAUUCUCUAGGCUUUGACAUCAGGACUCCACUACAGCACCAUAUUCCAUGUCCCAACUCCACCCCCAGCCAAUGAACUCUUGCAAAUUCAUCACUAGCCACUCUUACAUGAAAUGAUUAUCUCAGGGACAUGGAACUGAUUUCCUCAUUUUGUUCUUUGUUCAAGAAAAAUGGAAUCUGAAGUUUCAAUAUAAUCUCAUCAACAGUCCAGAAUGCUAUGAAGAUGCCUGUAGGGUUCUGAUCUCAUCAGAAGCUCUUGGGCACACAGAAAACAGAGUUUUAUUAUUAGUAGUAGUAAACAUGUUUUAUUAAAGCAUUCCCUGACA